rnacentral:tRNA from 12 species
GGGAGAGUUCCCGAGUGGCCAAUGGGGGCAGACUGUAAAUCUGUUGCGUCUUCGCUUCGAUGGUUCGAAUCCAUCCUCUCCCACCA